GCAGGGAUGGCCGAGAGGUUAAGGCGUUGGAUUUAGGUCUUCAUCGGGAAACAUCAGUUUCUCUAGUAGAAUACUCCAAUUUCGAAAGAAGCAUGGGUUCGAACCCCAUUUCCUGCA
rnacentral:tRNA from 2 species